AUGCACGCUGGCGGCGUGCCUAAUACAUGCAAGUCGAGCGAACAGACGAGGAGCUUGCUCCUCUGACGUUAGCGGCGGACGGGUGAGUAACACGUGGAUAACCUACCUAUAAGACUGGGAUAACUUCGGGAAACCGGAGCUAAUACCGGAUAAUAUAUUGAACCGCAUGGUUCAACAGUGAAAGACGGUUUUGCUGUCACUUAUAGAUGGAUCCGCGCCGCAUUAGCUAGUUGGUAAGGUAACGGCUUACCAAGGCAACGAUGCGUAGCCGACCUGAGAGGGUGAUCGGCCACACUGGAACUGAGACACGGUCCAGACUCCUACGGGAGGCAGCAGUAGGGAAUCUUCCGCAAUGGGCGAAAGCUUGACGGAGCAACGCCGCGUGAGUGAUGAAGGUCUUCGGAUCGUAAAACUCUGUUAUUAGGGAAGAACAAAUGUGUAAGUAACUAUGCACGUCUUGACGGUACCUAAUCAGAAAGCCACGGCUAACUACGUG
rnacentral:rRNA from 1 species